UGUGUAGGCGGAUAAAUUAGCGUUUUGUGAAAUCCCUCGGCUUAACCGAGGAAUUGCUUGACGAACUGUUUAUCUUGAGGCAAGUAGGGGUGCACGGAACUCUUGGUGGAGCGGUGGAAUGCGUAGAUAUCAAGAGGAACGCCAGUGGUGAAGACGGUGCACUGGGCUUGUUCUGACGCUGAGACACGAAAGCGUGGGUAGCAAACAGGAUUAGAUACCCUGGUAGUCC
rnacentral:rRNA from 1 species